UUGGUCAUAAGAAAGAAUUGUGAUGGAUGAACCGAUGAAGCAAAACAGUUGAAUAGGAAAUAAAGGUUCUGUAAAGAAUUGUGAUGGAUGAACCGAUGAAGCAAAACAGUUGAAUAGGAAAUAAAGGUUCUGUAUGGCUAUAUUUGGAAAUUCUUUUCUUUCAUGAGUCAGAUCAGUAAACCCCAAUUUGCUGCUUUUUCUUUCCCUCUCAAUUUGUUGCUUUUUCUUUUCGUGUCAUGAUACAUUAAAUUUUGUAUUGUUGUACGGUGCAGCCCUGAAACCUUAUGUAUGAUAUCACCACUUGC
rnacentral:lncRNA from 1 species